GAUUAACGCUGGCGGCGUGCAUAACACAUGCAAGUCGAACGAUGAAACUUAAAUGAUUUCUUCGGAAUGAACUUAAGUGGAUUAGUGGCGGACGGGUGAGUAACGCGUGAGUAACCUGCCUUACACAAGGGGAUAGCCGUUGGAAACGACGAAUAAUACCCUAUGAUGUUUCUAUCUCGCAUGAGAUAUUAACCAAAGUGUUAGCGGUGUAAGAUGGACUUGCGUCUGAUUAGCUAGUUGGUGAGAAAAAAGCCCACCAAGGCAACGAUCAGUAGCCGGCUUGAGAGAGUGUACGGCCACAUUGGGACUGAGACACGGCCCAGACUCCUACGGGAGGCAGCAGUGGGGAAUUUGGCACAAUGGGGGAAACCCUGAUGCAGCGACGCCGCGUGAUUUAGAAGGUCUUCGGGUUGUAAAAAUCUUUUGUAUAGGAAGAAAAUGACAGUACUAUACGAAUAAGGUCCGGCUAAUUACGUG
rnacentral:rRNA from 1 species